UUCUACUUUUAAACUGUGUAUUGGUUUUGGAAAGUGCUUUUAGAUUCCAACAUCAUACAGGAAAGGAGGAUGGAUGCACUCUUUUAUUAAGGUUAAAGGUUUUUAAUCACUUUUCCAGAAUACAGAUACGAUUGAAACAAAAACUAUUUUGAGGGUCUCAAUAAUUCACUUAUUAAUACCAUACAUUGAACUCUAUAAAUUCUCAUAUAAGAAAAUGUCUGUUUAAUAUAGGUUAUGAUGCACUGGUGACCAAGUUACAUCUUCUGAAGUAACACUUUGCAGUUAUAUAGCACCAUUCAUCACAGGGCUGCAAAGCAUCCUACGGUAUUCUGCCUCAUAAUGCCCAAACGAGGUAGGAAAGUCUGGCCAAUUUACAGACAGUACAACAGAGGUACAGACUGGAAGGGACAAGACAUGAGGUGUCAAUCCUCAGGAGUGAUGGGAAGUGUGUGCUGGGGCUGGGGGAUGAGUCGGUGGCUUAGCUUGGGAGAAAGUUCAGGUGCCUCACAUCACCCAAAGCUCCAAAGCUGCAGCCUGGCUCCUAGCAGGUCAAAAAGACCUUUGCAAAUUGCUCUGUCUGUUUGUGCUAUAAAUAUACAGAAGAGAGGAUAAAAAGCCCAGGACUCACAGGCCUAAGCCCCUCUGUUGACAUAUCCAAAGGCUGACUAAGAAUCAAGACAACAAAGCUUGGGUGUGUGGCUUGUGCUGCCCACAUCCACUUGGAUCUUCCAAGAUUAAAACCAUGUCCUUGGGAUUGAUUUUGAGAUUUGGGGUGCAAAGCUCUGUCUAACUUCAUUGUUUCAUUGUCAUAAAUUGCCUUCUCCCACCCAGCAGGUGAAAGUCAUGUAUUCCAGAUCUUGUUUCUUUAAGAAAAGCUGAAUCUCUGCUGAAAAUCCAUCAGUUUAGGUAAUGUGAUGUCCAAUGGACAUUUCAGUUCUGUGGCUAUAGGAAUCCGAGCUGCUCGAGUUCCUUUGAGCCUUUAUGACUUUAAAAAUCUUUCUGCAUCUGUGCAGCACUUCCUGGAGCAGAUCCAGCACCGGUGCCAGUGGAUUGAGCAUCAAGGACCUCCUCAAUGAGAUGUUUUGAAUAUAAAACCAUGAAUCUUAGGGACUUUAUAUUAGUGUUUUGCCAUGUACCAUCAAUUACCUGCCUCCCCAAAGCACCUUCCCAGCACCUUGCAACAGCUCUUCUGUCACUUGCUCUUCCUGGCCUGUCCAAAACAGUUCCCUCUGAAAGCACAACACAACAGAAAACUGCUGGAAUGCUCCUCGGGUGGGGAAACUGGAGAUAAAAAGGCAAGUUCUUAUAGCUCUGCUGCUGGAAGAAGUUGGUGUCAGUGGUCAGACUAAAUGAGGGAUUUCUCCCUUAGUUUAAAAAAGUCCACUUAAAAAAGGGCUGGGAUCAACUUCAUAACAAGUACAGUAAUAUUAUGCAAAACCAUCUGACCUCCCUACUGUUUCCAAGCCAGUUGUUUCCUCCUGGGGAAGAUGCAAAAGCAAAAGCAGUGUCAGUCCUACCUGUCCAGCCCUGUGGCUGUGGUGCUUGACCAAAGGGAUUUCCCUGUAAGGCAAAGGAGGGGAUCCUGUGGGGACUCCUCUGUCACAUCACCUGUUGAGUUAUGAAGUUCUGUCAAUGUGAGACAAGACCUGCAGCUCUCAGAGGCAUAACACACCUAUUUCAGUGCUCCCAAAACACCUUCUAGCCUUUCUCCUCAGCAAUGGUCCAUGAUUUUUACAUACUUUUGGUGCUCAUAUACAGGUAAAAACAACAAAACAACAGUUAAUGCUCAGGAGCUCAACGGCUCAAAACAUUUCUUACAUAUCAUCUUACAAGGCUGAUGAUGCAACAAGGGGAAGUACUGCUAGGAAGCAGCUCUUUAAUGAAGAUAGCAAGUCUUUGUUUUGCCUCUGGAAUGUUUAAAAUGGAUGACAGGUCAAGGAAGAAUGGGGAGGAACCUGUAGUGCUGAGGGGAGCAAAACUCCAGCCAUGCCAGACGGUUACAAGCACAGUAAGCAUUCAGUGCACAAGCAUUUGUUCUGGGUUCUUUGGUUGUUAAGGCAACAGUGAAACUGCUGCUUAGGGGACUGGGAUGUUACUGAAAUUGUUACAAAAAAAAAGAAAAGCCUUUAUUGCACAUUCCUCUGAGUCACCUCUGUGGGCCCUGGCACUGAACCAGCAGCACAUCUAUGGACAUGUGAUGAGGACUUUACUGCUGUUUUAAGUCUCCGAGGAGCUGGAAACUAUUCCAGAGAAAUCCUGGGGUGGCUUUUUUAGCAGUAGUUGACAGAGUAAUUCCCAAGAAACUACAGUUUAAGAAAAGAUUGGAUGUGGCACUCAGUGCCAUGGUCUGGUUGACAAGCUGGUGUCAGGGCCUCAGGGUGGACUCGAUCUCAAAGGUCUUUUCCAGCCCAGUUAACUCUGGGAUUCAGCAGGACACAGCAUGAUUUUUUCUGUUUAGAAAGAAUAUGUCAAUAAAUCUUGUGUGCUUAGCAAUCAGAAAUGUUGAUCACAAACAAGUUUGUGUUCAGAACUUGGAGCCUGUGUGUAUAAACUACAAAUAUACUUUAAUCCUUUAAGGUAAUCCUUCUUGUGUAUCAGUGUUAACUUGAGCUGGGCUGACAAGAAAUCCCUCAAGAGGAAAAUACAGCCCAGGCAAACCCUGGGAAAAGCAGACCAUUGCCAAAGGGCCUCCAAGCAGGAGGAAAUUGAAACUACAACUACUUACUGUGUUAAUUAUUACUAUGGAAUUGCAAUGAAAUGUUUCUUAUGUCACAACCACCAUGUCAAGGGAAUUCACACCAUGUUUAACAUGUCUGCUCUCAGCCAGUGAAAGUGAUAUCACUUGCCUUGCUGAGAGAAUCUGAAGGGCAAGUACCUUUCAUUCUAAGUGUCUACAAAACAUUGACCUCAAAGAAAAUGCUCCCAGACAAGAGACAGUGAGAAUGUUCAAAGAAAGAAAAGUGUUUCUCAUAAGGUACAAAUAUCCUAUGUUAUUCUAUGGGAAUAUUUCUGUUAACGUUUGUUAAGGAACACUCAGUUUUGGGAUUAUUUUUCACACCAUCCCCACCCAAGGAAAGUCUGCCCUCCCCACAGCCUGUCCUCACUGCUGCCAUGCUCAUUCCCAGGGGGGUUAGGGAAGGAGGAGCAGGCAAGGACAGCAUGCUGCACCCCCAGCAGCUGCCCAAGAGACGAAGGAAUCCCUGGAGUCUCCCCUGUGUUACAGCCACCGAGGCUCUGGGCGCACCUGUGUGCAGCAGACACCCCUCAGACAUUCUUAAUCCCCUGCAAACUGAUCUUUCCAGAAUGACUUUGUUUUCUCUGAACUUUCCCAAUGCAAACCACUCUGCCUCCAAUUUUGGUAUUUAAUGUAACAAUGGGGAGGGGCAGGUUGGUGUUCAUGGAGUAAGAACUGAGCCAGCAGGAGAAUGCCUGUGCUGAGGAGUGGCCAAAACAUCUUCCCUGGAAAUGCAAGGCCAUGGAGAAAGCAGAACCUUUGCUCAGAAAUAACAGACACAGAUGGGCUUUGGUCAGACAGAAUCAGGGGCAGGUUUUACUUUUCACAGAAUUUUCUGUAUUAAAAAAUACAUCAGUGAAAUCUGUUACAGGCAGGGACAGGACUACCAAGUACACAACGUCAAUAGACUACUUUCUGAUUUUAUUUUUGUUAAAUUACUUUUGUAACUGCUAAAAAAAUAUUUAAAAAAAACCAACCAAACAAACAAAACAAAACAAAAAAUCUGAAAUAUUAUUCAAGGCCGUUGAUUUUCAUCUCUUGAAAUUUCAGUGACAAGCUCAAAUAUCAGACCCCUGUUACAGAAGAUGGAUAACUGACCAGAGCUCGAUAAAAACCAUACAAUUCUCCUCUUUAAAAAUAGUUUGAGUUUCCAAUGAAUUUGUGACCACUGGUCAUCAGAAACACACACCUAGAGCUUGAGAAAACAGACAUACAGUCUCUGAUAAUGUCCUGUCCUCUAAACAUCACAUGGGAGCUUUUCUCUUCCAAAAGACUCAGUAACAGCCAAGUCUUUAAAAAAAAAAACUCUUUCAAUUUCCAACACUAUGACUAAAUCUCUUUGGGUGGGGUGGGAUAAAAACACACAUGGUCAUUUUCUACCACAGUUCUGUUCUCAGAAGUAAUACUGCAUCCUUUGUACAACACUGCCUGCAUUGCAAAGGUGGAAAGAGAAAGAGUGUGUGUGUGUAUUUCUGUUUGAAAUGACAAAGUCCUCUCUAGAUUUGCCUUACAAAAUAAUCAAAACCAUAGGAGUAGGGAAAGAGGAGAAAGGAAAGCUGCCUUAAAGGAAAUAACCUUUCUGCGCACCACAGUAUUUGCUGGGUUAUAUGGACAGGCUGCAGAGCUACUGGGCUGGGCAAGGGAUUCUGCACAGGACAUCCCCUCCUGGACAUUCCCCAAAAGGUCACUCGGAAGUUUGACCUACAGCACCUCUUCCAACAGAGUGAGAGUUGGUGUGAGCCUGGAGCAGGUGUCUGGCCUUGUGUGAUCAGUUAACAGCAGCCAGAGUUGUCCACUGGGAUGGCCAGUGGCUCCUGCCUUCCCAACAUUUGAUCCCAGUUAAAAAAAAAAAA